UACUCCUAAGAUUUUUGUGUU
ensembl:piRNA 21ur-1896 ncRNA